GACGAACGCUGGCGGCGUGCUUAACACAUGCAAGUCGAACGGAAAGGCCUGCUUUCCCUUGUGGAUUGCGGGUACUCGAGUGGCGAACGGGUGAGUAACACGUGAGUGAUCUGCCCCCAACUUGGGUAUAAGCCUGGGAAACUGGGUCUAAUUCCCGAUAGGACUGCAGGGUGGUGCCUGUGGUGGAAGACGAUUUUCUAGUGGUUGGGGAUGAGCUCGCGGCCUAUCAGCUUGUUGGUGGGGUAAUGGCCUACCAAGGCGGCGACGGGUAGCCGGCCUGAGAGGGUGGACGGCCACAGUGGGACUGAGAGACGGCCCAGACUCCGACGGGAGGCAGCAGUGGGGAAUAUUGGACGAUGGGCGGAAGCCUGAUGCAGCGACGCCGCGUGGGGGAUGACGGCCUUCGGGUUGUAAACUCCUUUCGACCGCGAGGAAGCCACCUGGUUGGAAGGGUGGUGACGGUAGUGGUAGAAGAAGCACCGGCUAACUACGUG
rnacentral:rRNA from 1 species